rnacentral:lncRNA from 1 species
GGUUCAUACCGUGCGGUGUCCUCACCUAGUGACAGAAGGGGUAGCGAGGCACGCAUGGUGUUGUUGCCAUCAAGGGUAAAAAGAUGGGGUUUAUAUCAUAUUGCAUGAAUUUAUCCCUCUACAUCAUGUCAUCUUGCUUAAGGCGUUACUCUGUUUGUUAUGAACUCAAUACACUAGAUGCAUGCUGGAUAGCGGUCGAUGUGUGGAGUAAUAGUAGUAGAUGCAGACAGUAUCGGUCUACUUGUCUCGGACGUGAUGCCUAUAUGUAUGAUCAUUGCCUUAGAUAUUAUCAUGAC